rnacentral:rRNA from 1 species
UACGUAGGGCGCAAGCGUUGUCCGGAAUUAUUGGGCGUAAAGAGCUCGUAGGCGGUCUGUCGCGUCUGCCGUGAAAACCCGAGGCUUAACCUCGGGCUGGCGGUGGAUACGGGCAGACUAGGGGUAGGUAGGGGAGAAUGGAAUUCCCGGUGUAGCGGUGAAAUGCGCAGAUAUCGGGAGGAACACCGGUGGCGAAGGCGGGUCUCUGGGCCGAUACUGACGCUGAGGAGCGAAAGCGUGGGGAGCGAACAGG